rnacentral:rRNA from 1 species
GGUUAAGCGACUAAGCGUACACGGUGGAUGCCCUGGCAGUCAGAGGCGAUGAAGGACGUGCUAAUCUGCGAUAAGCGUCGGUAAGGUGAUAUGAACCGUUAUAACCGGCGAUUUCCGAAUGGGGAAACCCAGUGUGAUUCGUCACACUAUCAUUAACUGAAUCCAUAGGUUAAUGAGGCGAACCGGGGGAACUGAAACAUCUAAGUACCCCGAGGAAAAGAAAUCAACCGAGAUUCCCCCAGUAGCGGCGAGCGAACGGGGAGGAGCCCAGAGCCUGAAUCAGUGUGUGUGUUAGUGGAAGCGUCUGGAAAGGCGCGCGAUACAGGGUGACAGCCCCGUACACAAAAAUGCACAUGCUGUGAGCUCGAUGAGUAGGGCGGGACACGUGGUAUCCUGUCUGAAUAUGGGGGGACCAUCCUCCAAGGCUAAAUACUCCUGACUGACCGAUAGUGAACCAGUACCGUGAGGGAAAGGCGAAAAGAACCCCGGCGAGGGGAGUGAAAAAGAACCUGAAACCGUGUACGUACAAGCAGUGGGAGCACGCUUAGGCGUGUGACUGCGUACCUUUUGUAUAAUGGGUCAGCGACUUAUAUUCUGUAGCAAGGUUAACCGAAUAGGGGAGCCGAAGGGAAACCGAGUCUUAACUGGGCGUUAAGUUGCAGGGUAUAGACCCGAAACCCGGUGAUCUAGCCAUGGGCAGGUUGAAGGUUGGGUAACACUAACUGGAGGACCGAACCGACUAAUGUUGAAAAAUUAGCGGAUGACUUGUGGCUGGGGGUGAAAGGCCAAUCAAACCGGGAGAUAGCUGGUUCUCCCCGAAAGCUAUUUAGGUAGCGCCUCGUGAAUUCAUCUCCGGGGGUAGAGCACUGUUUCGGCAAGGGGGUCAUCCCGACUUACCAACCCGAUGCAAACUGCGAAUACCGGAGAAUGUUAUCACGGGAGACACACGGCGGGUGCUAACGUCCGUCGUGAAGAGGGAAACAACCCAGACCGCCAGCUAAGGUCCCAAAGUCAUGGUUAAGUGGGAAACGAUGUGGGAAGGCCCAGACAGCCAGGAUGUUGGCUUAGAAGCAGCCAUCAUUUAAAGAAAGCGUAAUAGCUCACUGGUCGAGUCGGCCUGCGCGGAAGAUGUAACGGGGCUAAACCAUGCAC